rnacentral:rRNA from 1 species
UACGUAGGGUGCAAGCGUUAAUCGGAAUUACUGGGCGUAAAGCGUGCGCAGGCGGUUGCGCAAGACCGAUGUGAAAUCCCCGGGCUCAACCUGGGAAUGGCAUUGGUGACUGCACGGCUAGAGUGUGUCAGAGGGGGGUAGAAUUCCACGUGUAGCAGUGAAAUGCGUAGAGAUGUGGAGGAAUACCGAUGGCGAAGGCAGCCCCCUGGGAUAACACUGACGCUCAUGCACGAAAGCGUGGGGAGCAAACAGG